rnacentral:tRNA from 1 species
GCGUCUUUAGCUCAGUUGGUUAGAGCGCGUCCCUGAUAAGGACGAGGUCGGUGGUUCAAGUCCACUAAGACGCACCA